rnacentral:rRNA from 1 species
ACACCAAAAUGCACAGGUUGUGAACUCGAAGAGUAGGGCGGGACACGUGGUAUCCUGUCUGAAUAUGGGGGGACCAUCCUCCAAGGCUAAAUACUCCUGACUGACCGAUAGUGAACCAGUACCGUGAGGGAAAGGCGAAAAGAACCCCGGCGAGGGGAGUGAAAAAGAACCUGAAACCGUGUACGUACAAGCAGUGGGAGCACCUUCGGGUGUGACUGCGUACCUUUUGUAUAAUGGGUCAGCGACUUAUAUUCUGUAGCAAGGUUAACCGUAUAGGGGAGCCGCAGGGAAACCGAGUCUUAACUGGGCGUUAAGUUGCAGGGUAUAGACCCGAAACCCGGUGAUCUAGCCAUGGGCAGGUUGAAGGUUGGGUAACACUAACUGGAGGACCGAACCGACUAAUGUUGAAAAAUUAGCGGAUGACUUGUGGCUGGGGGUGAAAGGCCAAUCAAACCGGGAGAUAGCUGGUUCUCCCCGAAAGCU